rnacentral:rRNA from 1 species
UACGGAGGGUGCAAGCGUUAAUCGGAAUUACUGGGCGUAAAGCGCACGCAGGUGGCUGAGUCAGUCGAUUGUGAAAGCCCUGGGCUUAACCUGGGAAUUGCAGUCGAUACUACUCGGCUCGAGUAUGGGAGAGGGCAGUGGAAUUCCCGGUGUAGCGGUGAAAUGCGCAGAUAUCAGGAGGAACACCAAUGGCGAAGGCAGCUCGCUGGAACGGUACUGACGCUGAGGCGCGAAAGCGUGGGGAGCGAACAGG